rnacentral:lncRNA from 1 species
UUUCUUUUGGUUAUGUGAUUUAUUUGCUGGAGGGAGGAGGUGCGCCUUGCGUUGGUUUCGAAUUUGGAUGUCGUUCUCGAAGUUGGUUUUGGUCGUGGGUGUCGUCAUUCUCGAAGUUGGUUACCACCGAUGUUCGCGUCCAUUUGUCAUCGUGCGUUGGCCGUGGGUGUCGCAGUUUGUGUUGUGGUAAAGGUUUUGGGACCAUUGUUUAGAGCUUUCUUGGAACAAUCGCAGUGGUUGCAUCAUUCGUUGGUUGUCGAUUGUAGUGUUGGUGGUUUAUGUCUUCUGGUUUAGGAAAUUAGGUCUUUUUUGUCAGUGUUUUUGUAAUUUGUUCUUUGGUGGAUGUGUAUUUUAGGGAUUGUUGUUGGUCGUAAAGUUUUGAAUUUUUGACACACUUUUUUUUUGUACAAUGUUUCUUUUUACAGCAACGGAUUCCAUUCUACAAGAAGGUGAAAACAAUGUAUGUAUAGGUGUUUGUGCAUGAAAAGAUGAGUUGUUUAUGCAUUAAGUUGACAAUGAAUAUUUUUUUUCAAAUUUAAAAUUGAUGUAAUGAACUGUGUUAACCUCCCUAUGCAGAAGUAUAGCUAGGUCCCUAGUUAUUUCAUCCUCGGUCCCCA